rnacentral:rRNA from 1 species
AUACGGAGGAUGCGAGCGUUAUCCGGAUUUAUUGGGUUUAAAGGGAGCGUAGGUGGGAUAUUAAGUCAGCUGUGAAAGUUUGGGGCUCAACCUUAAAAUUGCAGUUGAUACUGGUUUCCUUGAGUACGGUACAGGUGGGCGGAAUUCGUGGUGUAGCGGUGAAAUGCUUAGAUAUCACGAAGAACUCCGAUCGCGAAGGCAGCUCACCGGGCCGGAACUGACACUGAUGCUCGAAAGUGCGGGUAUCAAACAGGAUUAGACACCCUGGUAGUCCGCACAGUAAACGAUGAAUACUCGCUGUUUGCGAUACACUGUAAGCGGCCAAGCGAAAGCGUUAAGUAUUCCACCUGGGGAGUACGCCGGCAACGGUGAAACUCAAAUGAAUUGGCGGGG